AUUACUCAUACUGCAUCAACGCUAUGGCGGACACCAGCGAAAAUCCAAACGUCACCCCUUCUAUCACCAUAUCAAGAGAUAUUUCUGUCGCAAUUCAAACAUGCUUUGAAUGACCUUUGAGCAAAGGCUGGUAUGAUGGAGUCCGCAAAACAAUUUUGCAGGAGGCCCCAGAAGCCAGAGUUGAGGCUUAUUCGGGAUGACAGAGUUUGUUUGAGGUAACAAUCAACAACAAACUUAUUUUCUCGAAGGCAAAACUGGGAAGUUAUCCGAGGAGAACAGAUAUAAGAAAGGCUAUAAGACAGGUGAAUAAUGGAGAAGAAGCAGAGGAAAUAACCACGACUGCUAGUAAUUCCUGCUGCACUUUGUUGUAAAUGGGAGGGGUUUAUGGGUCAGUGGGAGGGGUUAAUGGGUCAGUGGGAGGGGUUUAUGGGUCAAUGGGAGAGGUUUAUGGGUCAGUGGGAGGAGCAUACUGUCAAUGGGAGGGGCACACUGUAAGUGGGAGGGGCAAUGGCUCUAGCGACCACAGAAAAUAUCUAAAAAACAAAGAGCCCAAAGAGCACACUUACAUAUAAUACUUUGCAUCAUGGGAAUGUAUUAUGUGUUUGUUAUGUAUACAAACAUUGUACAAACAAAGAUAGAUAUUUUAUUAUGUUUUAUACUUGUGGUGUGGUACUAUCUAUUGAUGUAUAAGAUUUUUUUGACUUAUAAACAUGGCAGUAUUCAUACCCAGAAAAAUGAUGACUGACAUUUAAACGGAAAUUAUUUCGAGUGUUGGUUUGAUGUGUCGUCUGAGGAAGAGUAUGCCAUGUGAUAACUUGAAGAAAUCAAAAUAAUGUAACAAAUGUAUUUAGCAAAUACUAUGUAUUUUUUUUUUCUAUUUUGAGUUAUAAACCUGUCUAUAUAACACCAGCUAUUCAACUUCUCCUCGAUACUCGGGGGGGUACUGGGUUGGAAUUGUUGUGUAAACUACACUUUUCUAACGAAACCUGUUUUUAAAGCAUAUAUAAAUGCUAAACACAAACUUUAUUUUAUCUUGGUAAUCCAAACUAAUUCAGUAUUACAGUUUAGUGGCAAUUUAACCCUUUCACCCCCAUGUAACUGUAGUAAACUCUUCUUUGCUUGGAUCUGGAUGAGUCCAUUAUGGUCUACAGUGGUGAAAGGGGUUAAUCAAAAUACAUCAAAGAUUGAUAAUCUCAAUAUAAUGCAUUUAUUAUAUAAAAAAAAUACUCAUACUGCAAUGCAAGUUACACAACUGUAACUGAAUUAGACAUAACUUUACAAAUUUUUCGUAUAGGUCGACACCUCCAUUGUCUAGGUAUAUUUUGUAGCUCAAACGGUUGGUGUGAUAGUACAAUAGGAGUGUUUAAGUUCAUUGUUCCAAUUCCCGUCCAACUCUGCUGAAUUUUUAUACUCAGAAUUCUGUUGGUGAUAAUUUCGCUUAUUUUGUCUUUAUUAUUUCUUCAAAAAGUCCGACACGGUAUGAUUUUUUUUAUCAGAAAUAAUUUAUCAAAGCUACUGUGUCAUGCCGGAAAAAAGUGUCCAACCCAUAGUUACAGAGUUUUGCAGUGGUACGGGGAUUUUAAAGUCUAUCUUUUUUAAAGAUACUUUUUUAACUGCAAUCCAAAAUGGCAGCCAUGCAGUAUAACACUGAUAGUGUGUUGUAGAUAGCACACUACCUUUUUAUCAGGACAGCUCGGGUUCGUUUUCCGAUCUGAUAUAAUAUGGUACAGGUCAGCUGCUUGACCAUGCAAAAUUUUCUCGGGUUAUUCCGCUUUCAUUCAACUUUGAAAACCACCUGCAUGCUACCACCCGGGCCAACAAGACUGAUAAGCAUAAGUCGAUAACUUGUUUCAUAAUUGUUGUAGAAUAAAUACGAAAAGUGUAUACAUUGACUCUUUCCAAUGAUGCUUAGGAAUUUUAGAAACUGUCUAUAAUUCACAUCUUGUACAUUAUCAAUUUUAGGGGUUAUUUUGUUGGACAAUAUCAUGGAUGUUUAUAUGUAUUACAGUUAAUUAAUCCUUUAAACACUGGAAACCAUAAUGGACUCAUCCAUAUCAAUGCAUGGUAGAGUCUACUAAAGUUACAUAGGGGCGAAAGGGUUAAAAUCAUUUUUGUUGUCCUUGGAAACGCGAUUAGAUUGACAUUCUUUGUUUGUUACACUGAAAACAACUGUUCCGCAUUAUAAGACAUGUUUUUAUAGUAAAUGGAAACUUUUUAAAAAAUAUCAUUCGCACCACAAAGUUUGAUAUAUGUGUAAAUCAAUUACAAAACUUCAGAUUCUAGACAAAAGAAAUAUCUUAAAACUGAACCAAUGUUGCGUAAUUGUUAGAUGACCUCAUAAUGCAGUAUCAUGGAAAUAGUGCCGAAAUUGAUCUUGAACUUUUUGAUAUUGUCAAUCAAUUAUAGAAAAAAUGGACAACAGCAUCAUCAAACCUCAUAUUCAGUGUUUAGUUUCCUCAUUAAUAGCAUUUUCUUGUUUCUGGCAUAAUAUUUAGUAUGUUUCCUAAGUGUGAUAAAUGACUCGUAGAUUGAAUCCCAUAAGUAUACAAGGCGCCGUCCUAUUUUUCUGUUACCUUUUGCCGUCUUUCACAUUUUUAUUUUCGAUUUUCCAUGCUGUCUCUGUCUACAUUUCAAUGUUAUGUUAUCUUCAAUAAUAUUGUGUCAUUAAUAACUCAUUCAUCCCUGAAAUUUCAUAAUGAACUAUUCCAACCUUUGAAUUGGAAGGGUUCAAAUGGGUCUUCAGGAGUGAAUGAGUUAAGGAAAAGUGUCCUUGAUGUUUAGAAUAUAUAUCAGUCGACUGUCUGUGAACCUUAGUUUAUAUUGUAUGAUAUCAAAUUAAAAUUAUUAUAUAUAUGCAUUGGUAUAUUAAAUCAAUAUAAAUUUUAUAUAUUUACCUUUUUUGCUGUGAUAUCAUAAGCUGUAUUUAUAUUUAUAUACUGUAUCUAUUUUUACACAAUAUGAACCUGUAUCAUUUAACCCUUUCACCCCUAUGUAACUUCAGUAAACUCUUCCAUGCAUUGAUUUGGAUGAGUCCAUUAUGGUCUACAGUGGUGAAAGGGUUAAUCAUCUAUCUACUAUCAUACUUUUAGUAUUUUGUUUACUUCAUGGUUUACAACAAAAGUGCCAUAAUGUUCUAUUUUGGGAUAUUUCAUCCAAUGAAAUAUUCACCUUUCACGGGUAGAAACUAAAAGGAAAUCCAAUUUUAUAUAAUCUUUAUUUGAUUUUUGAAGUUAUUCAUAAAAUGAAAUACUGUUGAAGUAAAACAUUUCACGUUGUGGAAAUGUUUUUUAUACAAGUGAUCUAGAUUAUAGAUAAAUGGAAUAUGUAUAGUUUCCAGAUUUAUUGCCACUGCGAAAAUUUCCACAUCUUGAUCACUUUAACUCAUUCAUCCCUGAAGACACAUUUGAACCCUUCCAAUUCAAAGGUUGGAAUAGUUCAUUUUGAAAUUUUAGGGGUGAAUGAGUUAAUGUGUGACAAUGCAAACAUUUCCAACUGCAAAAAUUUUCCCUUUUACAGUAAUUGUUAAGUGAGGAAACAACAUUAUUUGUUUCACCUCAACUCAGAUUCAAAGUGUCAUCACAAUGGAUCUUUUUAUAUAUAUGAUAAAUAUGACCAGUUUGUGAUAGUAUUAUACACAGUAUUAUUACGAAUUACGGACUUUUGUUGAGGUCAUUAUGUGGUUAUAUGGACCUGAAAAGGAUAUAUAUUGACAGAGAACAACUCGAGCCAAAUACAAGUGUUCAGGUCCAUAUAACCCCAUACAUUGACCAUAAUAAAAUUUUGAGGUUAAUACAAGUCAAACUUUUCUGGUACAUAUACCCACAUAUACACCUCAACGGAAGUCCAUAAUUGUUAAAUGAUAGCGACAUUUAAUGUAACAAGAUAAUGUGAUACACAUACAAUGCAAUACAAAAAGUGAUAAUGAAUAUUUUUUAUGGACUGGAGACCACCGAAAUACUCCCAUUAUUGAAACUAUAUCUAACAAUCUUUUAUUGGAUAAUGUGAUUAACAUUCAUAUCAUUUACCUAAUUUCUUUGUCUUUGCAUUAGAUUUUAAUAAAAAAAAAAAAAAAAAAAUACGUGAAAUUU
rnacentral:lncRNA from 1 species